AUUGAACACUGGCGGCAUGCCUUACACAUGCAAGUCGAACGGCAGCAUGAUCUAGCUUGCUAGAUUGAUGGCGAGUGGCGAACGGGUGAGUAAUACAUCGGAACGUGCCCUGUAGUGGGGGAUAACUAGUCGACAGAUUAGCUAAUACCGCAUACGACCUGAGGGUGAAAGUGGGGGACCGCAAGGCCUCAUGCUAUAGGAGCGGCCGAUGUCUGAUUAGCUAGUUGGUGAGGUAAAGGCUCACCAAGGCGACGAUCAGUAGCUGGUCUGAGAGGACGAUCAGCCACACUGGGACUGAGACACGGCCCAGACUCCUACGGGAGGCAGCAGUGGGGAAUUUUGGACAAUGGGGGCAACCCUGAUCCAGCAAUGCCGCGUGUGUGAAGAAGGCCUUCGGGUUGUAAAGCACUUUUGUCCGGAAAGAAAUCGCACUUACUAAUAUUAGGUGUGGAUGACGGUACCGGAAGAAUAAGGACCGGCUAACUACGUGCCAGCCGCCGCGGUAA
rnacentral:rRNA from 1 species